CGGGGCGAGCGCUUGUGGAACGAGCGGCGGACGGGUGAGUAACACGUGGGCAACCUGCCUGUAAGACUGGGAUAACUCCGGGAAACCGGGGCUAAUACCGGAUAACACUUUCUCCUGCAUGGGGAAAAGUUGAAAGAUGGCUUCUGCUAUCACUUACAGAUGGGCCCGCGGCGCAUUAGCUAGUUGGUAGGGUAAAGGCCUACCAAGGCAACGAUGCGUAGCCGACCUGAGAGGGUGAUCGGCCACACUGGGACUGAGACACGGCCCAGACUCCUACGGGAGGCAGCAGUAGGGAAUCUUCCGCAAUGGACGAAAGUCUGACGGAGCAACGCCGCGUGAACGAUGAAGGCCUUCGGGUCGUAAAGUUCUGUUGUUAGGGAAGAACAAGUACCGUUCGAAUAGGUCGGUACCUUGACGGUACCUAACGAGGAAGCCCCGGCUAACUACGUGCCAGCAGCCGCGGUAAUACGUAGGGGGCAAGCGUUGUCCGGAAUUAUUGGGCGUAAAGC
rnacentral:rRNA from 1 species